CACUAUUAUAGUUGUAACUUUAUAAACAUAACAACUAAUCAUGAUAUCUAAUCAUAUCUCUAAGAUAUGAAAUCAUAAUCAUACAACAUAGUUAUAACAUAGCAAUUUAAGCAUAUCAUAUGCAUGAAGUACUAAUAGCAUGCAUCAAUAUAAAAUACUCUUUUUAUGAUUCUUCUUCUUAGGACAUCGUAGUGGCACCCCUAUAUACCAUAAGAGUACCCCAU
rnacentral:lncRNA from 1 species